rnacentral:rRNA from 1 species
GGGCCAGACUCCUACGGGAGGCAGCAGUGGGGAAUAUUGGGCAAUGGGCGCAAGCCUGACCCAGCAACGCCGCGUGAAGGAAGAAGGCUUUCGGGUUGUAAACUUCUUUUAAGAGGGAAGAGCAGAAGACGGUACCUCUUGAAUAAGCCACGGCUAACUACGUGCCAGCAGCCGCGGUAAUACGUAGGGGGCAAGCGUUAUCCGGAUUUACUGGGUGUAAAGGGGGCGCAGACGGCAAUGCAAGCCAGGAGUGAAAGCCCGGGGCCCAACCCCGGGACUGCUCUUGGAACUGCAUGGCUGGAGUACAGGAGGGGCAGGCGGAAUUCCUAGUGUAGCGGUGAAAUGCGUAGAUAUUAGGAGGAACACCAGUGGCGAAGGCGGCUUGCUGGGUCGAUACUGACAUUGAGGCACGAAAGCGUGGGGAGCAAACAGGAUUAGAUACCCCAGUAG